AAUUGAAGGAUUACAAACUCAACCGUACUGAAGAACUGCUAAGGGUUUAUCCAGGAUUGUACCACCUGCUAGGCGAGCCCAUCAAGAAGGCGGACGUCGACGUCAAUGAGGAGGUGAAACAGAACGGCGGCGGCACAAUUGGAUACAGCCGGUUAAAGGCUCCCAGAAGCGGGGUAAUUUGCUGAGCGAGGGCAAAUUGAAUAACGUGGGCGAAGUUGGACCUGGACAACGAUGCGAACCGAUGGUUGGUUAGCCGAAAGCCGGAGUGAUGACUGUGAGCGGAAAAUCCGGAUGUUUCGAAAUUCAGAACAAUAUAGCGAUUCACCGAGCUUUUGAUGAUCGAGGA